AACACAGAGAUGGAAAGACCGCACCCCCCCUCCCCCAGGACACAGAGAUGGAAAGACCACACCCCCUCCAGACGCAGAGAUGGAAAGACCACACCCCCCCCAGACGCAGAGAUGGAAAAACCGCACCCCGCCACACACAGAGAUGGAAAGACUGCACCCCCCCUUCCCAAGGACACAGAGAUGGAAAGACCGCACCCCACCCCAGACACACAGAUGGAAAGGCCUCACCCCCCCAGGACACAGAGAUGGAAAGACCACACCCUCCCUCCCCCAGGACACAGAGAUGGAAAGGCCGCACCGCCCCCAGGACACAGAGAUGGGAAGACCACACCCCCCCCCAGACACACAGAUGGAAAGGCCUCACCCCCCCAGGACACAGAAAAGACCACACCUCCCCCCCAGACACAGAGAUGGAAAGACCACACCCCCCCCCCAGACACAGAGAUGGAAAGACCACACCCCCCCCAGACACAGAGAUGGAAAGACCACACCCCCCCCCAGACACAGAGAUGGAAAGACCACACCUCCCCCCCAGACACAGAGAUGGAAAGACCACACCCCCCCCCCCAGACACAGAGAUGGAAAGACCACACCCCCCCCCAGACACAGAGAUGGAAAGACCACACCCCCCCCCAGACACAGAGAUGGAAAGACCACACACCCCGCCCAGACACAGAGAUGGAAAGACCACACCCCCCCCAGACACAGAGAUGGAAAGACCACACACCCCCAGACACAGAGAUGGAAAGACCACACACCCCCCCCAGACACAGAGAUGGAAAGACCACACACCCCCAGACACAGAGAUGGAAAGACCACACCCCCCCCCCAGACACAGAGAUGGAAAGACCACACCUCCCCCCCAGACACAGAGAUGGAAAGACCACACCCCCCCCCCCAGACACAGAGAUGGAAAGACCACACCCCCCCCCAGACACAGAGAUGG
rnacentral:lncRNA from 1 species